ACAGUCUGUGUGUACACUGACAUCUGCAGCAUCCUUUCUGUCUGUCUCUCUCCAGUCCUUCAUAUGACCUCAAACAGAAGUGAGUAGGGGAUGAUGGGAAACUCCUGGCUAUUCCACCCCCAAACUCCUGUCAAGAUUCAGUCUUGGGAACAGAGGACUCCAUUCUGCAGCAUCUGAGGAGGUGCAUUCCUGUCCCCCUCAGCAGGACUUGUGCUGCUGUGCCUAGCCAUCUGUUGGAGCUGUACCACUCUUCCCCAGGAUACUCAUCCCUGAAGGCUGCCCUGUGGAGAAUUAGCUAGGAAAUAGGAGAAGCUACCCAUCACAGGAAAAAAAAUCCUCAGAAAGUGGUGGGAAAACUGGAGGAUAAUAGCAGCUUCUAUUACCAAGUACAAUGGAAGUUCCUGUACAAAUACUCUACGGCAAUGGGAAUGGGAAGAAGGAAAGAGAACAGUAAAAGUGAAUUCUAACCUCUGAUGCCAGGAAAUGACUCAAUAAAUCAACAGUACUUUGAUCUACAGAAUUAUGGGAUUUCUCUUCACGAUAAGGAAAAAAUCCAGACAGACCUCUUCAGUGUCUAUAAAAGUCUGUAAAUGACCACAGUCUGCAGUUGGAAAAGCCUGAUGACUGGCAAGAGACCCAGUGAGGACUGAAUAAUCAAGCUGUGCUAUUAAAAGCUUUGUUCAUGCUUUGUUGCUAAGUGAAGAUAAGCCAGAACAGGGGAGAAGCCACAUUCCAAGAGCCUAUUUCUGUAAUUGCCAAUAAAAUCUGCACUGUCCAAGCUGGCG
rnacentral:lncRNA from 7 species